UGUUAGUGAUGGAAGUAGACGAAUUUCUAAUCUUGUCAACAACAAAGUGAAUUCAUGUUCUGAUGUGGAAUUUUAAUGUUGGUGUGAUAUAAAAGAAUGGGAUAAAAUAAAAAGACAUUCAUAGCAACAGGAAAAUAUUCAUCAGUUAUUCAGUUCAACAAGAACCUGCAAUGUUAUAAAAAUUACAGCCUCAAGAAUGUACUCUAGACGCAAGACUUGGAGCUAACAACAACAACGAGAUAAUGAAGAUAAGAAAAAUUUUUUCUUUUGUAUAUCUUACGCCUCUCGAAGCUAUUGAAAACAAUGAACAGACUAAGAGGAAUUUAAUGGUGAUGUGCGGGAGGUUAAGAUUAUUAGUGUGGGCGUCAGCUGUGAUCUGUUGACUGAUAACGACGUUUUGUCUGUUGCAGAAGAAGAAGGGACAAUUAUUUGUGUGUGAAGUUUUUAUGUAAAUGUUCUUUAAUUACUUGAUGAAAGAAGACACUAUAAAUGACCAACAAUGACGAGAUAAUAUCAACAAUGAUGGAGCGGAUGAAUUGAAAGAGGGCUUUACAAUUAUGAUGAAGGUCGCCAGAAAAGAUAACUACAAAGUAUUUGUGAAAUUAAUUUUUUUUCUUUUGUGGACUCGUGAUUUAUAGGGAAAUGAAUAGAGACAAGGGUAGUGAUGAUGCCUAGACAUGUUUUGAUCAAGUAAAAGUGUAGAAAACAAAGAAACAGUGAAAACCGAUACUAUGAAGUUGAUUUUGGCAAAAUUCAGAGCAGUUUAAUGAUCAGUUGACAGAAAUAAAAACCAACAACAAUAGCAAAUUUAAUGCAGUCAGUGAUCAGUUAACGGAAAUAUGAACUGAAAACAAUAAUAAAAUGGACAAGUAAAAUACCAAAUAGAACAACUUAGUAAUCAGGUUUCAGAACUAAAAGAUGGGUUGCCAGAUGGAUUAAAAAGCGUGAAUGAAAAAUUAAUGUAUUAGAAAAUAAAUUUAUUGUUUUGGAAAAUGAGUGAGUUGCACAGUCUGCAAAUCAGGAGAAGAAUGUUAAUGAUGUCAAAGUUCAACAGAAGGUCGUAGAGAAAAAAAUGGAACAGAACUUCAGUAGUUUAGAUCAAAAAAUUUUAAAUGUUGAAAACAGCAUGCUAACUAAUGUAAAUGUUUUAGACCAAAAAUUUUCAGUAGUUAAGGAAAACUGUAUUUACAACAAUCCAUAUUCAAAUAAUGGUACUGUGUGGUCUGACAUUCCAAUCAAAAGUUUUCCAUCAGACAAUUUACACCCAGUGGAUAUUCUACACCAUUGUGGAGAUAGUUUUGUGUUAGGUAUGGUUGAUGACCAUGAGAUUAAAUUUGUUACACGAUGUUUUGAAAUUGAAGCUCUGUAGUGUGUAAAUCUAAAUUUUGAUCUGAAGCUGAACAGGGGAGAAUUAAAAGUGAAUUUUUGAAUGGUCCAAAUUAUAGGAAUGGGGACGGUACACUGAAAGAAUUUUGUAAGAAUCAACUUAAGAAAUUAACACAUCUUGACAAACCAUUUGAUGAAAUGACUUUGAUUAAUAAACUAAAAAGGAGAUUACCAGCGAGCUUGCAGUGGGCUUUAGUACACAGACCUGACAAUUGCCUUGAACAGUUUUUACGAUAUGUUGAUAGGCUGGAUAGGACAUUAGAAAGAAGCAUGUACCAUAACAAUCGGAAUGACAGAGAUCACAAUGAUAACAACUACAGAAACAGAGAGUGUGGUAACUUUUAUCAGGGCCAACAUGGUAAUAGAGACAGAAACUUUGAACAUCAGCAGAAUAGGAACAAUGGGGAUAACGAUGGGCAAUAUAACAGGAAAAACAUAGAGGCAACUAUUCAGGAAACGGUGGUCCGCCUCAAUGUAGGUCCACAGUUCUGUGGCAAGGAAACACAACAAGUACAGGACCCCCAAUUUACACUUGCAAUUAGGCAAUAAUAACAGUGUUAACAAUGUGGCACAGGUACCUGAAGCUGAACAGAAGGAACAUCAGAUUUCUCAUUUGUGUUUUGAUAAAAAGUUUUGGGAUACUACGUUUAAUUAUAGUGAUGUAGGUGCUAAUCACAAACAAGAAUGUGAGAGUAAUGAGAAUUUUGAUAUAUUGUGUACUAAUGAUUUCUUCUCUUGGUCAGAAACACUGGUAUCGAUGUAUGUAAAACAGGUGAUGACUGUAUUGGAUCUGAAUUAGGUGGUAUUUUUGAUGAUGUGAAUGGGAGCUGUGAAAUGACUGGGGCUGGUAAGUCUGAGACUGUUAGCUUAUUGCAAUUGAAUGUAGGUGAGUUGUGUGAUUUUGAUGGAGAUGAAACUUGUGUUAUUAAAGAUGUUGUUGGUGAAACAAUUUUGGAAGAGAAUGAUAAUGAUGAUGAGUAUUAGGUAUUUGUGGAGUUUAAGAAAAAUGAAGUUUCAGAGUUGUUUGUGAAUACAGGUAAGGUAAGGUAAGUGAUGUAUGUGAUGAUGUAAGUGAGAGACAUGGAAUACCAGUCCAGUCAAAGUAGUUUUUCAUUAAUGUCAUACAGUGUAAUCAUCCAAACAGUAAAAGUGAGUUAUCUGUAAGGUUAGAGAAUAAAGGUGAAAACUUUUUGAAAUUUGUUUGGGACCAAAUUGAUGAUAACACACAUAAAUGUGCAUUCUGGAACAAGUUAGCUGUGGUUGAUCAAAAUUUGUAUCUGAAUUGGUUGAAUGAAGUGAAAGAAGAUCUAAGUAGGAAAUGUAAUUUUGACAGUAAUAUAUUUUGUGUUCCUUCUGUAAUAAGUAAUGUUAGCUGUGCUACAGAAUUCAUUCAGUGUAGUCUAUCUUUACUUGACAACAUGUAUGACUUAGUAAUGCUAUGAUACCAGUAAAGUUGAUAAAACCCUGCAAAAACAGUGUAGAUGUAGUAUUUGAUGAAACUGAAAGUGAUCUUUUGCAUGAAGUAUCUAAUAGCAGAGAUGAUCAUUCAGAUUUUGGAUGUCCUUACAUUAAGAUUAAGAUUGAUCAGUGGUAAGGGAAGUUUGAUUGAUACAGGUAGCCCAAUUUGUGACAUAUCUGAACAAUUUAGAGACGAGAUCCAGUAUAGUAUGGAUUUUGUGGAAAUGUCCAAUGCACCUGUAAAAAUAAGAGGAGCUAAUGGCAAGCAAACCAAGUAUGUAAAAUGUCAAGCACUGUUGACAUUUGGUACAGACGACAAGAUAUAUGAACAUGGAUGAAUAAUGAUACCUAGUCUCGAAGAAAAUAUUCAGAUCUGAUAUGAACGCUAGACAGGCAGUCACCUAUCCACUGGAGCAUGUGUUGAGAACUCUAGGGAGGAAACUGAAAGAUGUGGGUGAAUCCAGUCCCCACACUGCUGUAUGGCUGAACCCUGCUGGACCAGUCAACUUGCAAGAGAUCGUAGGUGUUGGGUUGUGCCCUUGAGCAUCUGUCAACUGGAUCUAUGUUGUGACUGAUAUUUGCAAAUUGUUAGCUGAGACUGCUAAAGACAGUGUUAUUCAGCAAAAUGUAUGUAAGGGGAUUGACUUUCCAAUGCAUUAUGCAACUUUAAAUCAGUAUGUAUUUUUUAUCAUUUGUAAAUGAAUCUUUUAAGUCUUUAUGUACAUAGGUUAGGUUGUAUAGACAAUUAGCAAAUAGUGUGUAAGUCAUUUACUAGUAUGGGCAAUAUAACAAGAUGUAUACAUGUUUGCUUUCGUAUACUGAUUUUGGUUCUCAAGGUACUGGAUUGUGUCAUCACUCAAAGCUAUUUAUGACUCUGUUUGCCUGUAUUUAUCCUGAGUGAUGAAACAUUAUAUCUAUUUGGAACUUGAGUUCUUUGCAUAUAAUUGAAGUUAUUGAUAUGAUUAUGAACUUUAUUCAUUGUGUUGUGUUGGAACAUUUUUUGCUGGUUUGUACCCGGUGUGGUUUGGAUUCAUGGGUCGGUGGUCGGCCCCCACAUCGUAAACUCAGGCCCAAUUAUUUUUCCAUUAUUUUGUUCUUUUAUGAGUCAACAUAUCCUUGAAUACUAUGGUUUAUGUGGCUGACUGUUUCCUAUUUAUGAUUGAGUAUAUUCUUCUAGUCUGUACCCAUCGUAAGUUUUUCAAGUCAGCUCACUUGUUGUACACUUAGGCUCUGAAAUUUUUUAUAUUCUCUUUUGAAGAUUUUAAAGGUUUGAUUAUAUAGAUCUUAACUUAAAAAUUAUAAAUUCAAAUAAUUCACAUAGUCUCUGCAAUUAUUUCUACAGUUUAGUGGUGUAAUGUUGUAGUUUUAACCUUGUGUUAUUUGUCUUGUGACAUGUAUGUUCCACAGAUCUGAAUGCCAUAUUCUGAUAUAUGUAUAGAUUAUGAUAUGUAUAGUAGAUAUUUUUCUUAUGUUUUCUGUAAUAUGUUAUGUAUCAGACUCUUCUAUACAUCUAUUUGCUAUCCUGGGCAUCAUUUUGUACACCAUUUGGCAAACCUUAUAGUCUGUCACAAUAUAUUGUAAAAAUUUUGUGAGCGGGAUAUUGUAAUGGAUCACCCUCCUCUAACAUUAUUUUUUUAUGUAGAAAUAAUUGAUACCAUGUAUACUAUUGAGUCUUGUAAAGAUGAACAUUAUAUCAGCUGUCUAACUGAAUGAAGUUCAUACGAUUUUGUAUAUGUUGUGUUAUGUUUUGGGCUAAAUAUGUAAAAAGAAAUUAAUGUGUUACAAUCUGUACAUACUAAUGGUUAAAAUUAAUCUUAUUUUAAAAUUAUUUUUCUUUUAGAAAUAUCUGGCAUACUUAAAAUUCAUAUUAUUAGUUGUACAAUCUAACACAAAUUAUAAAAUUUAUUUCAGGACUAAGUUAUACAGUAAUGUUAUAUCUUGGUGAUGAUUCUUCAUUUGUCAAGAGUGUUGUAAACUCUUUCACUUUGUAAACUCUUUGGAAUAUUGUGAGUACCACAGAAUGUUAGGAGUAGUGGGCAUGCCUCUGAUGGAAGUAGACAAAUUUCUAAUCUUGUCAACAACAAUGUGAAUUCGUGUUCUGAUGUGGAAUUUAUAUUUGGUAUGAUACAAAAGAAUGGGAUAAAAUAAAAAGCUGUUCAUAGCAACAGGCAAA